UGCUUUACACAUGCAAGUCGAACGGUAACAGGCCGCAAGGUGCUGACGAGUGGCGAACGGGUGAGUAAUGCAUCGGAACGUGCCCAGUCGUGGGGGAUAACGCAGCGAAAGCUGUGCUAAUACCGCAUACGAUCUAUGGAUGAAAGCGGGGGACCGUAAGGCCUCGCGCGAUUGGAGCGGCCGAUGUCAGAUUAGCUAGUUGGUGGGGUAAAGGCCCACCAAGGCGACGAUCUGUAGCUGGUCUGAGAGGACGACCAGCCACACUGGGACUGAGACACGGCCCAGACUCCUACGGGAGGCAGCAGUGGGGAAUUUUGGACAAUGGGCGCAAGCCUGAUCCAGCAAUGCCGCGUGCAGGAAGAAGGCCUUCGGGUUGUAAACUGC
rnacentral:rRNA from 1 species